GGGACAUCGGCCCCGCCAGCGCGGAGCCUGCGAGAGGGCGCGACUGCCGCUGCCGGUUCUGGUGCUAUAAUAAAGACCUGCCGAAAGGCCGCCUGUGGCCGGUUCCUGUCGAGCUCGCCCUUUCUCUCUGGCGGCCGUGAGCCCUGUGAGGGCGGCGCGGGCGUUUGGCCGCUCGGGCCCUGCCAGCGCCAGCCCGAGCCGCGCGCCCAGCUCCCGACUGCGAGCGAUGUUCCGUAACCUCGCCGCUGCUUCCAUAAAAGUACAAAUACGAUGCGCAGUCCUCUCGGGCUCCUUACGCUUUGGAAGGAGCUGACAGCCAAAGGCGUUUUGUCCUGGGGCUGCAGAAAUGGAUGCAGUAAAUGGGUGGAUUGUUUGUGUGUGACUUACUGAGGCCUGUCAGCUUAUGAAGCCAUUGGAACUUUUAAUAAUGACAUCGGGAGCAUAUCCCAGGUUCCAAGUGAUCAGAUGUGUCUGGCAUAGGUUCAAGGAUUAUGUUGUGCUAGGUGGGAGGAGUGUUCUUCAUCAGUGA
rnacentral:lncRNA from 1 species